UCCCCUACGGGGCGCAGCAGUCGGGAAUAUUGCGCAAUGGAGGAAACUCUGACGCAGUGACGCCGCGUAUAGGAAGAAGGUUUUCGGAUUGUAAACUAUUGUCGUUAGGGAAGAAAAAAGACAGUACCUAAGGAGGAAGCUCCGGCUAACUACGUGCCAGCAGCCGCGGUAAUACGUAGGGAGCAAGCGUUAUCCGGAUUUAUUGGGUUUAAAGGGAGCGUAGAUGGGUUGUUAAGUCAGUUGUGAAAGUUUGCGGCUCAACCGUAAAAUUGCAAUUGAUACUGGCGUCCUUGAUUACAGUUGAG
rnacentral:rRNA from 1 species